UACGAGGGGGGCAAGCGUUGUUCGGAUUUAUUGGGCGUAAAGGGUGCGUAGGCGGUUUGGCAAGUCUUGUGUGAAAUCUUUGGGCUCAACCCAAAGUCUGCAUAAGAAACUGCCGGGCUUGAGUAUGGGAGAGGUGAGUGGAAUUUCCGGUGUAGCGGUGAAAUGCGUAGAUAUCGGGAAGGAACACCUGUGGCGAAGGC
rnacentral:rRNA from 1 species